CGGGAAUAUGCAACCUUUCUCCGCUAAGUGGCUUUCCAAGUUGGCAGCUUUAAAAGGAUUGGAAAACAACACAAUUCUCUGGUCUUCACACCCAAAAGUGGGAUCCAACCAAGAGAAUGGGUGGAAUUUGGAAAAAUCCAUCACUGGAAGACAUGCAGUUUCACUCGCUGACAUCUGAAAGCUUCAAACAGUGGAGCAUGCUCAUGAGGAGGCCCUGAAAGCAGAACCUCGCCCUCACCCCACAACCACCUCCAAGGCUGUGCUGCCAACAGGAGCUGGCUGGUUAUUUCAUCUUCUCUCUUACACUGCUUUACCUCGUCAGUUCUAAAUGAAAUUAGAAGAUUAAAA